AUGGCAUGUUGAGGACAAUCGGUACAAAACUUCUUGAAUCUCUCCCAAGCUAGGUAAAAUUCUCAUCCUUGCGUUGUCGAAAACUUGUAAUCCUUUGUCUCCCCUU
rnacentral:snoRNA from 1 species